UACCCGCUGGAACUUAAGCAUAUCAAUAAGCGGAGGAAAAGAAACCAACAGGGAUUGCCCCAGUAACGGCGAGUGAAGCGGCAACAGCUCAAAUUUGAAAUCUGGCCUUCUGGUCCGAGUUGUAAUUUGCAGAGGAUGCUUCGGGUGAGGUGCCUUCCAAGUCCCCUGGAACGGGGCGCCGAAGAGGGUGAGAGCCCCGUACGGUUGGCGGCCGAGCCUGUGUGAAGCUCCUUCGACGAGUCGAGUAGUUUGGGAAUGCUGCUCUAAGCGGGAGGUAGACCCCUUCUAAAGCUAAAUAUUGGCCAGAGACCGAUAGCGCACAAGUAGAGUGAUCGAAAGAUGAAAAGCACUUUGAAAAGAGGGUUAAAUAGCACGUGAAAUUGUUGAAAGGGAAGCGCUUGUGACCAGACGUGCGCCGGGGUGUUCAGCGGGCGUUCUCGCCCGUGCACUCGCCUCGGCGCAGGCCAGCGUCGGUUCGAGCGGGGGGAUAAAGGCGUCUGGAAUGUGGCUCCCCCGGGAGUGUUAUAGCCAGGCGUGCCAUGCCCCCGCCCGGACCGAGGUACGCGUUCUGCAAGGACGCUGGCGUAAUGGUCCCCAGCGACCCGUCUUGAAACACGGACCAAGGAGUCGAGGUUUUGCGCGAGUGUUUGGGUGUUAAACCCGCACGCGUAAUGAAAGUGAACGUAGGUGGGAGCUUCGGCGCACCACCGACCGAUCCUGAUGUUUUCGGAUGGAUUUGAGUAAGAGCGUAGGGCCUCGGACCCGAAAGAUGGUGAACUAUGCUUGGAUAGGGUGAAGCCAGAGGAAACUCUGGUGGAGGCUCGCAGCGGUUCUGACGUGCAAAUCGAUCGUCAAAUCUGAGCAUGGGGGCGAAAGACUAAUCGAACCAUCUAGUAGCUGGUUACCGCCGAAGUUCCCCCUCAGGAUA
rnacentral:rRNA from 1 species